rnacentral:tRNA from 1 species
GGGGGUGUAGCUCAAUCGGUAGAGUAUUUCGUUUGCAUCGAUAGGGUAAGGGGAUCGAAACCCCUCACCUCCACCA